rnacentral:rRNA from 1 species
CUAACACAUGCAAGUCGAGCGGGGAUUACUUGACGAUUAUCUGAAGGUGGAUCUAGCGGCGGACGGGUGAGUAACGCGUAGGCAACCUGCCCUGUACAGGGGGACAACACCGGGAAACCGGUGCUAAUACCGCAUAACAUACAGCCAUCGCAUGGUGGUUGUAUCAAAGGGGAAAUCCAGUACAGGAUGGGCCUGCGUCCGAUUAGCUAGUUGGUAAGGUAAUGGCUUACCAAGGCGACGAUCGGUAGCCGAACUGAGAGGUUGAUCGGCCACAUUGGGACUGAGACACGGCCCAGACUCCUACGGGAGGCAGCAGUGGGGAAUAUUGCGCAAUGGGGGGAACCCUGACGCAGCAACGCCGCGUGAAGGAUGAAGGCCUUCGGGUUGUAAACUUCUUUGAUUGGGGAAGAAGAAAGUGACGGUACCCAAAAAACAAGCCACGGCUAACUACGUGCCAGCAGCCGCGGUAAUACGUAGGUGGCGAGCGUUGUCCGGAAUUACUGGGUGUAAAGGGCGUGUAGGCGGGGCGGCAAGUCAGAUGUGAAAUUUCGGGGCUCAACCCCGAAGGUGCAUCUGAAACUGCUGUUCUUGAGUGUCGGAGAGGAAAGUGGAAUUCCCAGUGUAGCGGUGAAAUGCGUAGAGAUUGGGAGGAACACCAGUGGCGAAGGCGGCUUUCUGGACGACAACUGACGCUGAGGCGCGAAAGCGUGGGGAGCGAACAGGAUUAGAUACCCUGGUAGUCCACGCCGUAAACGAUGGAUACUAGGUGUAGGGGGUAUCGACCCCUUCUGUGCCGGAGUUAACACAAUAAGUAUCCCACCUGGGGAGUACGGCCGCAAGGUUGAAACUCAAAGGAAUUGACGGGGGCCCGCACAAGCAGUGGAGUAUGUGGUUUAAUUCGAAGCAACGCGAAGAGCCUUACCAGGGCUUGACAUCCCCUGAUCCCAUUGGAGACAAGGGUUCCAUUCGGGGCAGGGAGACAGGUGGUGCAUGGUUGUCGUCAGCUCGUGUCGUGAGAUGUUGGGUUAAGUCCCGCAACGAGCGCAACACCUGUUGCCAGUUGCCAUCAUUAAGUUGGCCACUCUGGCGAGACUGCCGGUGA